GUCCCCAUCCAAACCCUAUCGAGAUAGCUUACGCGACCGGCGGCGAGCGAAGUGGCGGCGAGCGGAGCAACGACGAGCGGAGUGGGUGCGGGAGGGGCGUGAAAGGCGGAGCAUCUUACCGGCGGGAGGGGAUGAAUCCCGCCUAGCCGCUCCAUAUCAGAUCGCUGCCGUACUUGGAGUCCGACCGGCGCCGCCGUUCUUGGUGUCCGACCGGCGCCGCCGUUCUUGGAGUCCGACCGCCGCUGCCGUCCACUGCGGUUCCUCUCCGGCAACCUCCGUUCUAUCUCGCCCUUUCUCUUCUACCCUCGUCGCACCGCCGCAUCUCCGCACCACAGCCGUCAGUUAGAUGUGGUUCGAUCUGUUGCCGGACACUGUGAAACGCACGAUGGUCCGCACAGGACGUUGUCUACAUGAUGCUCCAGAUCAGGUCAAAAAUAGUUGCAUGUACAUCCCGUCAUUCUCUGUGUAGCGAUGGGGCUUGACGCCAGAGAAGGGAUUAACAGAGAAGCUUAUCCAUCUUGUCAUCUAGGAUUGUUUUAUUUGCGCCAUGAUCUGUUACUAUAUGCUAUUCAAAGUAUACAUGACAUGGUAGAAGUAGCCGCUCCCUGUAGCUUUCUGACUCCCUGUAGUCUACUGCUUUGGUUGCCAUAUGGUUGAUGCAUUAUGAUCAUCCCUUAAUUGUUGGUUAGUCUUUCCAGAUUCCAACUGAUUAUGUCUAAUUGCAUCUGUAGGCUAGAGUUUGACACUUGCCCUUUCACUUGCAAGCCUGACAUUCUAUAUGGGUUGUAGGACUAAAUAGACUGUUGUACAAUGUAAUUGCUUGCCUAAUAUUAAUAGUUUAUGAACUGCAUUGUUAGUUAUAUGGGGGCACAGGCACACUACUUUCAUUCUACAUGGGUCAUAGAUGGUUUGUUAGCAGGUUACUAUUUCUAGAAUUGGACUCUGUGCAUUGGCGUACAGAUGCAAACCUAUUCCUUCCAAUACGAAGAUACAAUUUCCAUGUAAAAUUCACACUUGUAGCCUUUCUCCUUCAAAUGCCAUGUGCAUGGUCACGCCACUCUAGUAUUGUCAUGUCCUGUUACAUGCAUGACUAUGCUUCUGUCAUCCAGAUUUCAUUCUAUGUGCAACUGAACGCAUUAGUAGCGGUCAUUUAUCUGCUUGCACAUCGCUGCUUUACGGUAGUCUAUGUAAUUGUUAAUUUGCCAUGGUGAUUUAGUGUCCAGUUGCCCGAUGUACACCUAGUUUGCUGGUACAACUUUGCUUUGUGGUGUCUACAUGCCUAAGUAAUUCCAAUGCAUUUUUUUUGUUCAGGUUCCAUUUUCCAAAAGCCUCCGCAGCCACCGCUACCGUCUAGUGUGGCACAUAUCGCCGCAGUUUCUACCACUGAUGGCACCUGAGAUGUUUGCUCGCUUCUGAUGUUGUAUUGGUCUAAAGACUGGGUUUGUUGUUGAUUGGUGUAACUUGUUACAAUUUUGUAGUGUCAUGGUUGGUCAGAAUUUGGAAUAUUGCCAUGAUCUAUUGUGGGUCAUGAGAAUUGUGACAACAACUUGUUACAACAUUCUGUAUCCUGGGUUCCGAACUAUCUAUUCGGUAGUCACUGCCGUGUUGGACCUGGUAUUA